GGUAACUGUGAACCCUGCUGCUGCUUCUGCUAUGUCACUUCAGUCGUGUCCGACUCUGUGCGACCCCAUAGACGGCAGCCCACCAGGCGCCCCCGUCCCUGGGAUUCUCCAGGUGGCUCAGCGGUAAAGAAUCCACCUGCAAUUCAGGAGUUGUGGGUUCGAUCCCUGGGUCAGGAAGAUCCCCUGGAGAAGGAAAUGGCAACCCACUCCAGUAUUCUUACCUGGACAAUCCCAUGGGCAGAAGAGCUUCGAGGGCUAUAAUCCAUGGGGUGGCAAAAGAGUCGGACACGACUUAGUGACUAAACAACAACAACUCUUUGGCAAAGGGAACUAUGCUCAGUAUCUUAUAAUAAAC
ensembl:lncRNA